AGACUGCUCACACAAGAAGUCAGUAACUAUUCUGGAAAUACCACCAGAUACUUAAGUAAUUUUGGCAUGUGACAACUCUGGCACGGGGCCUCUAUUGCUAACAAAAAGAAUAUCACAAACAGGUGAGUUAGAGGAAUCCACGGACGUUAAACUUUUACAUGUAUUAGUUUAUCACUCAAAUGUGAUAUUGUGUUUGGAUGACUGAGCCUCUAAUCUUCACCUGUUUGAAAAACACCUGUCUAAACACUACAGUGAGUUCCAGUGGGAUAGCAAACGUACAGAAGAGAAAAAUGAGAAUUUUUUCUUUUAAAAUCCAUUGUAAAUGCACUGAAAUCUGUCUUCUUUCCAGAUCAUCUCAUAUCACAUCCCUAACUCUGCCAAAGCCUCUGAGAUGUCUUUUCAAUAUUCUGUAAAGUUAUGCCUAAUACAAACAGAGCGUGAGUGAGUAAUUCCUGGUGGCUGACGCUAAUUUCUGCUGGUAUGGUCAGAAUUGUAUCAACACCUUUUUGUAACUCUUCACUUUCUGUUUUCAGGUAUGAACUUUGCUAAACUUCACACCCUUAAAAUACAGUUGGAAUACAAAACAAACAAUGAAAGUGAACAAAUCACUAAAGAGCUGUGUUGAUCACAAGUCAGCAUAAUGAGUUGCUGUUCAUUAGGGAACCAGAAUAACUGAUGCCAUCUAAUAAUAUAGUUAAAUGUGUCAGCAAUUACCAUAAACACGAAAUUUUAGUAAAAUAAACAGUUUGUCAGCCUAAUGAAUGAGUCAAUGAAAGACUUUUAAAAGUCUGCAUGUUAACGACAACUUCAUUUUGGAGCCAGGAAUUGUGAGUGAUGAUGGUUUGCUGCCAGGCAUUGAAUUUUAAAUGGUGAAGAAACAUCCUCAACAUAAUCAGUCAUCCGUUGUUACACAUGGCAUUCUAUCUGCUACUGUGUUACUGUCCAAAAUGAUAUAACAUUCUCAAAGGCAACAUGUGAGUAGCAGGUUUUUCUUUUUACUGCAAAGGUAAAAGAAAACGUGAAACAUAAUGCCUUCCUGUAACGAAAGAGAUGGAGAACAGAGGUUUUUAACACUUAUUAUAUAUAUAAAAUUGUCCCUUUAAAGGAACUUCACCUGCUUUUAUUGAAGUCCUCCCAAAACCAAAUCAAAACCUAAGAUUUCUUUUACCAGUAUGAUGAUACAGUAUUUCACAACCUGAAGACUGGUUGUAUUCCAGAUCUGUUGUGAAGGUAACAUGCAUAAUUUGCAUAAGUAACAUUUACAUUUUCACACAAGAUACCUACUUAAAGCCUGUGAUUCAGCAGCAGAUGUAUGUGUGCAUGUGUGUUUAUAAACCAAUGGUAAAGCUUACUAGAGAGCCCACAUCCUAAUAAUUUGCAUGUCUUUGCAUGCCUGUUGAGUUUACCUCCAUAGCUCCCUAUGUAUCAAUCCCCAAAAGUUUUUCUUUUAUUUCUGCAGAUGUUUUUUCAUGUGCUGAUGCUUUUGAAGACAUACAUAUCUCAAAUACAUGUUGCACAUAUUAAAAUGUGUUAAGCUUUAGGUUGUUUUUUUUUUGUGUAACAGAAUAUGGUAUUCUAUUUCUCUUUGACAUUCUUUACGUCCUUGCUCUUUAGAGAAGAGAUUUUGAGAUUUUUACAAAACCCCCUUUAUUAUACCAUGGAGUUCACAAGACAAUUACAGAAUUAUAUGUUAUGGCCCCAAUUCUGUCCCUAUGUACAGAAACAGGACAGAGAAAAUUAAAGCAGGCUUUGCUAAUUUGAUCUUAAUUUACUAAGAAUUUACGUAUUCUUUACAGCCAAUUCUAUUAUCUUGUGCUGUGUUCCUGAAAAACAAGGAUGGGAUUAACUUUGAGGAAUUUAGACUCAUUUUGAGGAAUUUUAUGAGCUGUUUUACAUGUGUAGCAAUAGCUUGAUUUUAUUUAUGUCCUACAAAAUUCAAACUAUGAUUGCUAAAGAAAAGAUGCUAUGGAGAUGCAGUCUUUUAGAAUUGUGUUUCUAACAAUCCAAAUGUUAUAGGACUCAAAAUUAUUACUUUUUUUCCUCCUUUCGUAUUGGUAAUUUGUCUUUGCUGCAAGAACACCCUUUGCUGGUAAUGGUAUUCAAUAAUAUUUUUACUGCAAUACAAGAUGUUAUGAUAACAAAAGCUGAAAAUUGUUCUCCCAAAGGCAUUUUUAUAGUGCAUAAUAUUUUGCAAAAUAUUGUGUAUCCUGAAUGUUCUCAAUGCAUCCUUAAUGAAAAGUUGUCAAGAUUAUUGUGAAUAUUAGCAGCAUUUGAUAUCUGAGAGAUACUUACUGGGGACAACAUUGGGAAAGAACCUGAGAGACAUUCUAUCUCCUUCUUGAGGAGGAGUUUGGUUUUUAAUCUAUUUAUACACUUCAGUUAAAUAUGCAUAUUCUGAUUACUGAAUUUUCAGUACCUUCUACUGCAGAAAAAAAUGACCUAGAAUGUAGAGUUACAUACCAUACGAAAUAUUAAAAUACUGUGUGGUACAACAGAGAACAAAAACUGUGGGUAAGUUUAUUUGUCUUUCUAAUUUAUUCAAAUUUAACUUUGCCAAUCUUUAUCUAAAUUCAGUUUUGAGCUACUGAUUUUCAGGUUAAUAAAUGACCCACAACCGGUGCUCAAAAAUCAGGAAAGGUCUGACUGUAACUUGAAAAGAUCACUAGUACCUGAAGCCCUGACUCAUCUUCCAAGUUUUACAAGUCCAUUUUCUUAAAAUGGGAACCAGAAUUACAUAUGGUAUUUGAGAUGCAAGAUACAGCAAUGCAAAGAUACACUUUCAACCAUAGGCAGAGGAUAU